AUUGAACGCUGGCGGCGGGCCUAGCACAUGCAAGUCGAGCGAGCGGCGGACGGGUGAGUGAUGUAUGGGGACUGCCCGAUAGAGGGGGAUAACUACUGGAAGCGGUGGCUAAUACCGCAUAAGGUCGAAUAACGCAUAUGGGAUUAGCUAGUAGGUAAGGUAAUGGCUUACCUAGGCGACGCUCCCGAGCUGGUCUGAGAGGAUGAUCAGCCACACUGGGACUGCGACACUGCGCAGACUCCGACGGAGGCAGCAGGGGGGAAUAGUGCACAAUGGGCUCAAGACUGAGGCAGACAUGCCGCUUGUAUGAAGAAGGCCCUAGGGUUGUAAAGUACUUUCAGGCGUGAGGCGUUACCGACAGAAGAAGCACCGGCUAACGCCGUGCCAGCAGCCGCGGUAAUUC
rnacentral:rRNA from 1 species